GUUAAGUAUAGCGGGAGAGUAGUACUUGGUUCAAUUUUGGUGAUAUUCUUAAUUGGUUCAUUUCUGAGAAUUGACAAAGAAAGAAAAGAAAUUGAAACGAAUACCAGUGUGAUGGUCGAAUCAGUGUUUCAAAUACUAGCUUAUUCCACUUUACUAUUUUGCUUUUUAUUCAUGGUAAUAGCCUCUUCCAAGGUUGAUACAUGCAUGAUAAUGAUGGCCCGAAUGUGGUGUGCCAAUGAUCCAGGAGCCAGACAAGUUAUUUUAAAAUUUACUCGACUGGGUU